GCUUCUAUCAUCUAGUGGCAAGGAUACCAGUUUGUGGUCAACCGCAUUCGCAAAACACUGGAAACGCCGGUUCAAUUCCGGCUGGAAGCA